UGGGGCUGGCCCCUCUUAAAUUCGCAGCUACCACGCGCAGCAACACCCUGGGCCUUCUCCCCUGGGCCAUGGGUCUUUUCCAUUGCUCGGUCUGAUCCCCAGGCUUUGCUCCAAAACCUGAUCAAAUCCCCCGUCUCCGGGAGCCUUCCCUGCCUCUAAGUGCCUCAGUCUCCCUUCUAUAAAGUGGAGGCGCUGGCAAUACAGAAUACCAAGAAGUCCUCCCCUCCUGGAGCUGACAUUUCAGCACAGAGGCCUUGAGCCCCUCUCCACGGUUCUAACAACAGACACCCGCCUGUUACCAGAAGAUGAGGAAACUCUCCGAGACAACGUGAUUAUCUGAGGUCACAUCACACAGAUGGUCAUCUCUGGAGCAGAAGCAUGCUCAUCAGUGGUGAGGAGCACAGCCUGUGGCAGGGACAGACUGCAUUAGGAUGCUGUCUGGGAGGCUUACAGGCCCACCUGUCCUGAAGGCUGGGCAUGUGGGGGCCCUCCCCAGGCACUGAUGUUUUGCCUCCUUCCCCAGGAUCACUUAUCACCCCUGGCACCCUACCCACCAAAUGCUGCCUCCUCUACCAGAUGCCGCAGAACACACAGGCAAUGCCUGAAUUCCUCCAACAGUGCCAAACUGGUCCUGAAACAUAUAGCUCUGACCACAGAGUUCUUCCCAACGAUGAAGAAAUCUCUUCUCUAGAGCUUCUACCCACCGGACCUUGUUCAGCCCAACAGACCCAAAAAGAGCAAGUCUAACCCUUCCACAAGGGCAACUGUGAAAGAUCACAAAACAGUCAUUCUACCUCUUGCCAAUUCAGUAGUAGUCAGCACAUGGUGCUGGACGCUUUGUACCCAGGACCCUUCCUCAGGCCACGCUCUAGUUUGCUGUGUGCCUCAAAGUAUAGGACACGGCACAGACAGCAUCAGA